GGCUUCUGUUGGGUCAGACAGUUUGGUGCGCUAGUUGUGUGCUUAGCAGCAACGCACACCAGGCUGACUGCCUUAGCAGUGUGGCC
rfam:Human herpesvirus 4 complete wild type genome